rnacentral:rRNA from 1 species
AACGGGUGCUUAACACGUGGGCAAUCUGUCUUAAAGUGGGGGAUAGCUCGGCGAAAGCCGAAUUAAUACCGCAUGUGAUUAGAGUGGACAUCCAUUCGAAAUUAAAGUCGGGGCAACCUGACGCUUUUUGAGGAGCCCGCGGCCUAUCAGCUUGUUGGUGAGGUAACGGCUCACCAAGGCUUUGACGGGUAGCUGGUCUGAGAGGACGACCAGCCACACUGGGACUGAGACACGGCCCAGACACCUACGGGUGGCAGCAGUCGAGAAUUUUUCUCAAUGGGGGAAACCCUGAAGGAGCGACGCCGCGUGGAGGAUGAAGGUCUUCGGAUUGUAAACUCCUGUCAUUGGGGAACAAGUCGCUUACGUUAACUGCGUGAGCGUUGAUAGUACCCGAAGAGGAAGAGACGGCUAACUCUGUGCCAGCAGCCGCGGUAAUACAGAGGUCUCAAGCGUUGUUCGGAUUCAUUGGGCGUAAAGGGUGCGUAGGCGGCGCGGUAAGUCGGGUGUGAAAUCUUGGAGCUUAACUCCGAAACUGCAUUCGAUACUGCCGUGCUUGAGGACUGGAGAGGAGACUGGAAUUUACGG